CAGAGGGUGCAAACGUUGUUCGGAAUUACUGGGCGUAAAGCGCGUGUAGGCGGCCAUCUAAGUCGGGCGUGAAAUCCCACGGCUCAACCGUGGAAGUGCACUCGAAACUGGAUGGCUAGAGUCCUGGAGAGGAAGGUGGAAUGCUUGGUGUAGAGGUGAAAUUCGUAGAUAUCAAGCGGAACACCGGUGGCGAAGGCGGCCUUCUGGACAGUGACUGACGCUGAGACGCGAAAGCGUGGGGAGCAAACAGG
rnacentral:rRNA from 1 species